AGCGAAAGGUGCUUGCACCUUUCAAGCGAGUGGCGAACGGGUGAGUAACACGUGGAUAACCUGCCUCAAGGCUGGGGAUAACAUUUGGAAACAGAUGCUAAUACCGAAUAAAACUUAGUAUCGCAUGAUACAAAGUUGAAAGGCGCUACGGCGUCACCUAGAGAUGGGUCCGCGGUGCAUUAGUUAGUUGGUGAGGUAAAGGCCCACCAAGACGAUGAUACGUAGCCGACCUGAGAGGGUAAUCGGCCACAUUGGGACUGAGACACGGCCCAAACUCC
rnacentral:rRNA from 1 species